GACGAACGCUGGCGGCGUGCCUAAUACAUGCAAGUUGAGCGAUGAAGCUUGGUGCUUGCACCAAUUUGAAGAGCAGCGAACGGGUGAGUAACGCGUGGGGAAUCUGCCUUUGAGCGGGGGACAACAUUUGGAAACGAAUGCUAAUACCGCAUAACAACUUUAAACAUAAGUUUUAAGUUUGAAAGAUGCAAUUGCAUCACUCAAAGAUGAUCCCGCGUUGUAUUAGCUAGUUGGUGAGGUAAAGGCUCACCAAGGCGAUGAUACAUAGCCGACCUGAGAGGGUGAUCGGCCACAUUGGGGCUGAGACACGGCCCAAACUCCUACGGGAGGCAGCAGGAGGGAAUCUUCGGCAAUGGACGAAAGUCUGACCGAGCAACGCCGCGUGAGUGAAGAAGGGUUUCGGAUCGUAAAACUCUGUUGGUAGAGAAGAACGUUGGUGAGAGUGGAAAGCUCAUCAAGUGACGGUAACUACACAGAAAGGGACGGCUAACUACGUG
rnacentral:rRNA from 1 species